GAUGAACGCUGGCGGCGUGCCUAAUACAUGCAAGUCGAGCGAAUGGAUUAAGAGCUUGCUCUUAUGAAGUUAGCGGCGGACGGGUGAGUAACACGUGGGUAACCUGCCCAUAAGACUGGGAUAACUCCGGGAAACCGGGGCUAAUACCGGAUAACAUUUUGAACCGCAUGGUUCGAAAUUGAAAGGCCGCUUCGGCUGUCACUUAUGGAUGGACCCGCGUCGCAUUAGCUAGUUGGGGAGGUAACGGCUAACCAAGGCAACGAUGCGUAGCCGCCCUGAGAGGGUGAGCGGCCACACUGGGACUGAGACACGGCCCAGACUCCUACGGGAGGCAGCAGUAGGGAAUCUUCCGCAAUGGACGAAAGUCUGACGGAGCAACGCCGCGUGAGUGAUGAAGGCUUUCGGGUCGUAAAACUCUGUUGUUAGGGAAGAACAAGUGCUAGUUGAAUAAGCUGGCACCUUGACGGUACCUAACCAGAAAGCCACGGCUAACUACGUGCCAGCAGCCGCCGUAA
rnacentral:rRNA from 1 species